rnacentral:rRNA from 1 species
GACGAACGCUGGCGGCGUGCCUAAUACAUGCAAGUUGAGCGAUGAAGAUUGGUGCUUGCACCAAUUUGAAGAGCAGCGAACGGGUGAGUAACGCGUGGGGAAUCUGCCUUUGAGCGGGGGACAACAUUUGGAAACGAAUGCUAAUACCGCAUAACAACUUUAAACAUAAGUUUUAAGUUUGAAAGAUGCAAUUGCAUCACUCAAAGAUGAUCCCGCGUUGUAUUAGCUAGUUGGUGAGGUAAAGGCUCACCAAGGCGAUGAUACAUAGCCGACCUGAGAGGGUGAUCGGCCACAUUGGGGCUGAGACACGGCCCAAACUCCUACGGGAGGCAGCAGUAGGGAAUCUUCGGCAAUGGACGAAAGUCUGGCCGAGCGACGCCGCGUGAGUGGAGAAGGUUUUCGGAUCGUAAAGCUCUGUUGGUAGAGAUGAACGUUGGUGAGAGUGGAAAGCUCAUCAAGUGACGGUAACUACACAGAAAGGGACGGCUAACUACGUG